GACGAACGCUGGCGGCGUGCUUAACACAUGCAAGUCGAACGGAAAGGCCCUGCUUUCGUGGGGUGCUCGAGUGGCGAACGGGUGAGUAACACGUGAGUAACCUGCCCUUGACGUUGGGACAACUUCAGGAAACUGGGGCUAAUACCGGAUAGGAGCUGCUGCUGCAUGGUGGGGGUUGGAAAGCUUCGGCGGAUGGGGCUGGACUCGGGGGUUAUCAGCUUGUUGGGGGGGGAGUGGCCUACCGAGUGAUUGGCGGGUAGCCGGCCCGGGAGGGUGGACGCCGCCCAUGCGCCUGCGGUACGGCCCAGUGUCCUACGGGGGGCAGUGGUGGGGAGUCUUGCCCAGCGGGGCCGCGCCUGUUGAGGCGGCGCCGCGUGCGUGAUGCCGGCCUUCGGGUUGUAAACCGCAUUCGGCUGUGACGAAGCGUGAGUGACGGUAAUGGGUGAAGAAGCACCGGCUAACUACGUG
rnacentral:rRNA from 1 species